GUCAGGAUGGCCGAGCGGUCUAAGGCGCCGGACACAAUUGCAAGUUUGCACACCUGCUUCGCUAAUGCGCAGUCAGAGGGUGUUCUGGUCCACCAAUUUUGGGCUUGGGUUCGAAUCCCACUCCUGACA
rnacentral:tRNA from 1 species